CCUACGGGAGGCAGCAGUGGGGAAUUUUCCGCAAUGGGCGAAAGCCUGACGGAGCAAUACCGCGUGAGGGACGAAGGCUCUUGGGUCGUAAACCUCUUUUCUCAAGGAAGAUAAUGACGGUACUUGAGGAAUCAGCAUCGGCUAACUCCGUGCCAGCAGCCGCGGUAAUACGGAGGAUGCAAGCGUUAUCCGGAAUGAUUGGGCGUAAAGCGUCCGCAGGUGGUUUUGUAAGUCUGCUGUUAAAGCGUCAUGCUCAACAUGAUUAAAGCGGUGGAAACUACAAGACUAGAGUGCGUUAGGGGUGAAGGGAAUUCCUGGUGUAGCGGUGAAAUGCGUAGAGAUCAGGAAGAACACCGGUGGCGAAGGCGCUUCACUAUGCCGCAACCUGACACUGAGGGACGAAAGCUAGGGGAGCGAAUGGGAUUAGAUACCCCAGUAGUCCUAGCCGUAAACGAUGGACACUAGGUGUUGUNUUGUAUCGACCGACGCNGUGCGUCGCGACGCGUAGUGUCCGCCGUGGGUGGACGCGCGCGAGUGUGAACGACGAAGGUAAGUAGUUACGGCGUGAGAGUGCCGACGGCGACGACGAGGGAGGAGG
rnacentral:rRNA from 1 species